rnacentral:rRNA from 1 species
GGCUCAGAGCGAACGCUGGCGGCAGGCUUAACACAUGCAAGUCGAGCGGGCGUAGCAAUACGUCAGCGGCAGACGGGUGAGUAACGCGUGGGAACGUACCUUUUGGUUCGGAACAACACAGGGAAACUUGUGCUAAUACCGGAUAAGCCCUUACGGGGAAAGAUUUAUCGCCGAAAGAUCGGCCCGCGUYUGAUUAGCUAGUUGGUAGGGUAACGGCCUACCAAGGCGACGAUCAGUAGCUGGUYUGAGAGGAUGAUCAGCCACAUUGGGACUGAGACACGGCCCAAACUCCUACGGGAGGCAGCAGUGGGGAAUAUUGGACAAUGGGGGCAACCCUGAUCCAGCCAUGCCGCGUGAGUGAUGAAGGCCCUAGGGUUGUAAAGCUCUUUUGUGCGGGAAGAUAAU